rnacentral:rRNA from 1 species
AAUGAACGCUGGCGGCAUGCCUAACACAUGCAAGUCGAACGAGACCACCGGGAGUAGUGGCGCACGGGUGUGUCACGCGUCGGAACCGUCACUCAGGUAUGGAAUAACUCUCCGACAGGGGUGAUAAUGCCGGAUAAUGUCUUCUAACCAAAGAUAUAUCGCACUUGGAUGGGCACACGUUGGAUUAGCUAUUUGGGAGGGUAAAAGCCGACCAAGGCAACGAUGAUUAGCUGGGAUAAGUGGGAGAUCAGCUACACUGUGACGGAGAAACGGCCCACACGCCUGCGGUGGGCAGCAGUAGGGACUCCUACGGAAGGGGGGAGAGCGUGAUGCAGGACGAUGGCGUAAGUGAAGAAGGACUUAGGACGGUAAAGCUCUGAAGUUCUGAAAGAAGAAAAGCUCUUUUACCCGUGAUGAUAAUGACGGUACCGAAAGAAUAAGCUCCGGCUAACUCCGUG